UACGUAGGGGCUAGCGUUGUCCGGAUUUAUUGGGCGUAAAGAGCGUGUAGGCGGCCAGGUAGGUCUGGUGUGAAAACUCGAGGCUUAACCUCGAGAUGUCAUCGGAAACCAUCUGGCUAGAGUCCGGAAGAGGAGUGUGGAAUUCCUGGUGUAGCGGUGAAAUGCGCAGAUAUCAGGAAGAACACCUAUGGCGAAGGCAGCACUCUGGGACGGUACUGACGCUGAGACGCGAAAGCGUGGGGAGCGAACAGG
rnacentral:rRNA from 1 species